CACAGUUUGGGGACCACUGCCAUAAAUGGAAUCACUCCCAAGACUUGUUCUUAUUAUGGCUGGCAUCAGGCGUGUGCCCACUGCAGUGUCUCCAUCACAGGGCAGGGGCAGAGCUGGCCCCGGCUAAUCCCCGCUAAUCCCGGGCUGAAUGCGGCUGUACCCGGCUGUGUGUGUGAUGAGCAGCACUGGAGCAGACACCGUCCUCCUCCUCCCCCCGCAGCCACAAUAGGCGGCUAUUCUUAUUCUAAUGCCGGGGACACAUAUGCUGCUCAGUCCCCUCCUGUCUGCUCGGGGUUGGGGGGGCUUCUAUCCCACAAUCCUCUCCAUCCUGCGCCCCUCCUCUCCGGGGGCUGUCUCGGCCUCUCCCCCCCAGCAGCAGGAAGAGAGUUGACCGCCUGAUGCCAGGCUGUGUGACUACUGCACUUCUGGCUGGAUGAUCGCAGUGCCAGGCUCCCUCCUCCAUCCCUGCAUGCUGAUGUGCCAGUCUGCACUGAGCCCUGCACCCUCUCCACCCAGCCUCAGCACCAUCUGCCCAUUGCCUGCCACACUUCUCUUUGAUGCUGUUUACUUGGUGCCCUCUGUUCUGCAUCACCCCCCAUCAUCAUCAUCACCACUUGGGACUACUUUAUAGCUUAACCCUUUACUUACUUCUGACUUGCCCCCCAGUAACCCUGUGAUCUGGCUGUGCCCCCUCCCUUCAUGGUGAUAAUGUUGCUGCAUCCAGCAUUGUGAUAACUCCUAAAAACUGCAUUUUUUGGGCACUGGAGGUGGAGCUUGUACCCAGCUACAGCAGCAACAAGGGGGUCUGCAAGUGGCCUGCAAGGGAUCUCAUUGGAAAAGAUGGACGCUAGCAAAAUGACUGUGAGUAUAAACAAAGCCAUCAACACUCAAGAAGCGGCCGUGAAAGAGAAACAUGCAAGAACUUGUAUUUUGGGAACUCACCAUGAGAAGGGAGCUCAGACAUUCUGGGCAGCUGUCAACCGGCUGCCCCUGUCAAGCAAUGCGGUCCUCUGCUGGAAAUUUUGCCACGUGUUUCACAAACUGCUCCGUGAUGGACACCCUAAUGUUUUGAAGGACUCUUUGCGAUAUAAGAAUGAACUAAUAGACAUGAGCCGGAUGUGGGGGCAUCUUAGUGAUGGCUAUGGCCAAUUAUGCAGUAUCUAUCUGAAGCUCCUGAACACCAAGAUGGAUUUUCACACAAAGAAUCCUCGUUUCCCUGGAAACCUUCAGAUGACUGACAGACAGCUGGAUGAAGCGGGAGAGAACGAUGUCAAUAAUUUCUUUCAGCUUACGGUGGAAAUAUUUGACUACAUGGAGUGGGAGCUCAAUCUCUUUCAUACAGUUUUUAAAUCAUUGGACAUGUCCCGUUCUGUGUCUGUCACCGCUGCUGGCCAGUGCCGUCUUUCACCUCUAAUCCAAGUCAUACUAGACUGCAGCCACUUGUAUGACUACACUGUGAAACUCCUCUUCAAACUUCACUCUUGCCUUCCUACAGAUACAUUACAGGGUCAUCGAGAUCGGUUUAUGGAACAGUUUCAAAAGUUGAAGGACUUGUUUUACCGUUCAAGUAACCUGCAAUACUUCAAACGCCUACUGCAGAUUCCACAACUUCCAGAGAACCCACCAAACUUUUUGAGAGCUUCUGCCUUAUCUGAGCACAUUAGCCCGGUGGUUCUCAUUCCUACAGGAAACUCUCCCCCGGACAGUGAAACAUUAGUGGAGACUGAUGAUCUUGUUGGGAUGGACUCUUCAUCUAUCCAGAGUAUCCCUGAAAAUAAAUUUGAUGAUAUAUUCGGCAGCUCCUUUAGCAAUGACCCUUUCAAUUUCAGCAGCCAGAAUGGCAUGACAAGGGAUGACAAAGAUCGGCUCAUAGAACAGCUGUAUAAAGAAAUAGCCAUUCUAAGGGAUGAUUUGGGAAACUUCAAAGCAGAGAGUCACCGGUUGGUUAGCAGUCUGAGGGGUCGGAUCCAAGAACUGGAGGCAGAGUUAGCGGAGCAGAAGCAUCACAGAGAGCAGGCAGUGGACGAAAAUGAGUUUCUGCGCACCGAGCUGGAGGAGCUGAAAAGGAAGAGACAGGAUACCGAGAAAGCCCAGAAGAGCCUCACUGAAAUAGAAAGAAAAUCCAUAGCAAAUGAGCAGAGAUAUACCAAGCUGAAGGAGAAGUAUGCAGAGCUUGUGCGGAGCCAUGCUGAUCUCUUGAGAAAGAAUGCUGAAGUCACAAAGCAGAUGACUGUGGCUCGAGAAGCUCUGGGGGACAUGGAACGCUCAAGAAAAGAGCUUGAGAAUUCGUAUCAACGUGUGAAUGAACAUACACAGAGGAAGGUGCAGGAACAGAUGCAUCAGAUGGAUGAGUUACAGGGGGCGCUAGAGAGCAGACAACAGGAAGUUCAACUCCUACAAAGCAGCAUAGCAACCUCCAAUCAGGAUUACCUCACACGGUUUAAGGAACAUGAGGAGGGUUUUCUACAACGCUUGAUGCAGGAGGUAGAAGGAAUUAUCCAAGAGGCGCUUCAGCAGCUAGACGAACCACUGUACACCAGCGGCAGUGUGUCUACAGACUUUCUAAUCUCCAGAACAGUGGCGGCGGUAGAGAGCACUGAGAAAUUAGACGAGGCAUGGAAGAGACACAUGUCUGAUACUUCAGAUGUGAAUUCCUUGUUGCCAAAUCUGGUCCAGUUUGCACAUAGAAUAAGUGAUGUGAUCAUGCAAGGAGCCCAGACCAGGACAUCUGACAAGCUGUGUGAUAGCUGUCGUACAUGUGGUACCGAAGCUUUGAACUAUCUCUCCACCCUGAAGAACAAAGCCAUACAGAGUGAAGCCGACUGUAGCCAGAUUACUGCCACGCUAAAGCACAUUGCUGAUAUUGCCCAGGAGCUGCGGCCCCCUUCACUUGAUAUUAAAGAGGAGGAGCUGGGAGACCUGGUGGAGAAGGAGAUGGCAGCCACGGCGGCAGCUGUCGAAACUGCUGCCUCCAGAAUUGAGGAAAUGCUCAAAAAGUCACGGACAGAUGAUACUGGACUAAAAUUACAAGUCAAUGAACAGAUUUUAGGCUCAUGCACAGAUCUUAUGCAGGCUAUUCAAGCCUUGAUACUGGCUUCAAAGGACCUCCAAAAGGAAAUCGUGGAGAGUGGAGGAGGUGCAGCAUCUACAAAAGAAUUUUAUGCUAAAAACUCGAGGUGGACAGAAGGGCUGAUCUCAGCCUCCAAGGCAGUGGGUUGGGGUGCUACUGUGAUGGUGGAUGCUGCGGACCUUGUGGUCCAAGGACAGGGGAAAUUUGAAGAUCUUAUUGUUUGUUCCCAUGAAAUUGCAGCCAGCACUGCCCAGCUUGUAGCGGCUUCCAAGGUAAAGGCAGAUAAGAACAGUUCUAACUUGACCAGACUACAACAAGCCUCUAAAGUUGUAAAUCAUAAUGCUGCUGGGGUGGUGGCUUCUACAAAGUCAGUCAAGUCACAGAUAGAAGAAGUAGAAACAAUGGACUUCUCUAGUAUGACCCUCACUCAGAUCAAGCGUCAAGAGAUGGACUCACAGGUUCGAGUGCUGGAGUUGGAGAACCAAUUGCAAAAAGAGAGAGAAAAACUUGGAGAUUUAAGGAAGAAGCACUAUGAAUUAGCCGGAGUCUCAGAAGGGUGGGGAGAUGCUGCUGAAUAGGCUGUAUUACGGCUUCCACUCAACAUACAGAACGCACACAGCAGAUAACUUUGAAAGCACACGUCUAUGGCAUUCAAUUCAGAUCUUCUCAACACAGCCUGAACUGGCCACGUCUAUCUGGUUCUGAGUUUUUCCUAAUGGGCUACAGAAUGGCGGAAAGGAAGGAGACGAGUAUCGAUGAUGCAACAGGGAGGAUUCACGAACCUGUAUACUGCUCCCACGCUUAACCACGACUCACCUUCCAUGCUUGGGAGACAAAUAUAUUCCAUUUCUUGAUAUAUAUGUUAGUUCAGGAUCACAUGAAGGGACCAGAACAACUCAACAGGGUGCAGAGUAUUAGCUCUUGCCUUGGACGCCAGACAGCCUGUGAGAUUCUGGCACCUAAAGGAGACGAUUAGGUGCUUAAUAGCAGCAUUCAGUUAAUUCCAUUCAGCUAAAUACAAUUCAUUAUAUGGUGUGGAGUGACCAGGAGCACAAAUAAGCCCCUAGGGGGCGUAUGAGAGACAGAGACCUUCAGCUAUUGUUCAGACAUAUUUAAAUUAGUUGGCGAAGAAAAUGGACUACAACUUUUGCUUUAUAGGUUACUGGACAAUGUUAUAGUCACAGAAAGAGAGAAUGACUUGAUAUUAUUGGUGCUGUAAACUUAACAAAAACAGCAACGUUUUGGGCAUAAAAAUAAUGUAUUGGUUUUAACCAAACAUGUAGAAUUGUUUGGAAGACAUCAAUAUUAUAUAUUGUAUAAAUGUACAGUGGGCUCUGUGACCAGAAGACUUGAGAGUAUUCGCACUCAUGACCUAAGAUCACUCAGUAAACUUAAGACCCCCAACACUGAUCUCUGUCCAUGAAAUGUCCCAUUUUCUGGACAAAUCCCUUGUGAAAUCUUUCCUUUGGUAGGUGCUAUAUAUGGGUCUAUUCCCCGGGGUCCUAUCAUAUCCUGCACUGCCAUCUGAGUUUACAGCAGGAAGAAAGAUGUGGAGGAAUUGAGGCCAUGGAUUCUGGAUACACAUUCUGUGACUGUAAGGGAAGACAUUAUAUAGACCAGUGGUCCGCAGGUUGAAGACCACUGAUAUAGACCAUGGUGUUAUAAUGUUUUCACAUUUGUGCCAUAAGGCUUGGCACAAGUAGAUGUCACUAUUGCAUUUACACUAAUAAAUCCAUGUUCAUUUUUUCCUGCUUCUUUUUAUUCUGUAACAGAAAUGCCUUAGAAUUCUUAAAGGAUAAAGUUGAAAGUUCCAAAAUAUUUAGACAUUUUGAAUUUCUUCGUAGGUUGAAUACGUUUUUUUUAAAUUAAAGUUAAAGCAUGACAUAAAAAAUAUCUUGGUUGCAGAAA